rnacentral:lncRNA from 1 species
AACUCUAGUGCCCUGAGGAAGAUGGUGAAUGAGUUAAGGUAAGACCCAGAGUAUCGAUCACAGUAGGAAAACUUAGAACUAAAUGUUUUAAAGUGCCAUUGUGAGAAAGUUACAGUUUUCCCUUCUAAGCUUCAAUUAGCAACCUGUGAAGUAAAUUUCUCUGAGGCUCAUUUUGAAAAUUUUAGAAUGAAAACUAGUAGUAGACAAAAUGUCAGGCCCAAAACUUUAGAAUAAUCUUUGUGAUACUCAGUCGAGUCUCAAAGCCUUUCAAUUCAUCUCCUUCUCAUUAUUUUUUAUAACAAAAGGAGUUAUUUUUGACUGUUAGUGUUUCCAUGCAACCAUCUUUGACUGUUAAUGUCAGAGAUGGAUCUGUCAGAGCUGUCAAUAUUCUCUGUGUUUGGGAUUUCAGCCUUUCAUCUGAACAUAAAUGUAGAGCUCUUGUAUUUUGCAGUUUUGUUUUUUAGUGAGCAUGAAUGCAAAAGAAACUGAACUUAGAAUGGCAGCUACAACUCUUCUGACAAAAAAAAAAAAAAAAAAAGAUAAUGCAAAAAGGACCAAUUUUUAAAAAAGGGAAAAUGUUUGGGGCAUUAGAGGUUUUGUGACUCUUGCAAUAUGUUUCUCUUUUCUGAAUUGUUGCUCAUUACUGUCAAUCACCACUCUAUCCUAGAACUCUAGAUCCUGUCAUUUGAAUUUCCAAAUGUAAAUGAAAAAAUACAUGCCUUUUCAAUCCAAGUGAACUUCUUCAAGUUUACUUUAAUAAAGGGUUUGUUGUUGUUUGUAUGUUUUCUGCAUAAGGAUCUGAGUAAACAUAAGCAAUACAGAGUUUUCGUCUAGUCAGUCAGGGUUAGAGGAAUGAAAGCUCAAAUGUUCCAAGAAGAUCUGAUUAUUUGUCCCAAAUGUCAGAAUAUUGCAGUGAGCUGUGCACCACUCUUUCAGGGAAAUGAAUGAUGGACACUGGGGAAUAUAAAUUGACCCUAUGAAGAGUUAAUAAUUGUGUAGAGAGAACAUUAAAAUUCUCCAUUCUACCUCCAUAAAUUUUCCUUCCUUCAACAAACAGUAAUUGAGUCCUACUCAGGUACUGUGCACCUGGGGAUGUAAUAGUGAACAAGUUACAACCGUAGCUCUAAAAAGAUUAUGGACAAGUAAGGAGAACCAGACUAACACUGGGGAAACAAAGUGAGGUUUCCAAUGCCACUACCCUUGUUUGCCCCUAGAAGACAGGGAGUCUAUUAACAUAAUGAUGCAGCAGAGUCCAUUUUUGAAAGGCAACCAGAAAUUGCAAGCUUUGUGUUUUAGCUAUUUCAUUUUUAAGGUUCUGAAAGACCCUGUGCAUCACCCAUGCAUUGACUAUAUGGGAGAUGUUUGUUUGUGAGAACACGUGAGUCCCCUCAUCUCACCAAAACAAAUGAACCAGUGAUCAAACUAGAUCACUGUCCUGUUCAAACUCUCCAUGACUUCCCACUACAACCAGAAUAAUAUCCAAUCUCCUGCUAUGCCUAUAAGGCCUUGCACGACAUGGCCCUGAAUACCUCUCUGAUCUCCUUUUUAUCUCUACAACUAAUGCUGCUAUGACAAGACCCUCGUUUCUGCCUGUGCCAAGCUUGAUCUCAAGUCAAGACAUUAGUAUGUUCCUUUGGCUUGAAAUUAUCUACCUGCAGAUGAUUGCAUGGCUGUCUUCUCACCAUUCAGGUCAAUUCACAAUUGCCAAAACAGUGACCUCUUCUUGCCCCUUUCUCCCCUUCAGCCCCUCAACUUAGUUAAUCUGCCAGAGUUUCUUGUUUGACUGUUUUUAGCAUUUACCUGCAGUCUCAAAUUAUGUAUGUGUUUGUGUGUUUACUGAAUGUCUUAUAAUCCUGUAGGCCUUCCAACGUUUUCAUCUCCCUAUUCCUAGAAUCUAAAGUAUUGCCUGGCAUCAUAAUAGGUCCUCAAAAAAAUAUUUGCUGACUGAUGCACUGACUUGUUUCAAAGAUUUUCAGAAAUAUUCAUGGGAGAAUGGGCAAUAGAGUUUCGUGGGUACAAGAUGUGGGCAAAAACAGAAAAUGUGCAUUACUGUCAAUAUGAAGUUAAUUUGUAUGUACAGACUACAGAAACUAUUCGUAUAAGAUAUAUGCAUUUCAAUAUAAGUGCUAUAAAGGAAAUAAGUCAGAAUUUGAGAGGGAAGAAAUACCCAGGAAGUAGUGAUAUUUGAGCAGAGAGCUCAAGGAUAAUAGGAUAUAGCUAGUUUC